UAGGGAAUCUUCCGCAAUGGGCGAAAGCCUGACGGAGCAACGCCGCGUGAGUGAUGAAGGUCUUCGGAUCGUAAAACUCUGUUAUUAGGGAAGAACCAAUGUGUAAGUAACUAUGCACGUCUUGACGGUACCUAAUCAGAAAGCCACGGCUAACUACGUGCCAGCAGCCGCGGUAAUACGUAGGUGGCAAGCGUUAUCCGGAAUUAUUGGGCGUAAAGCGCGCGUAGGCGGUUUUUUAAGUCUGAUGUGAAAGCCCACGGCUCAACCGUGGAGGGUCAUUGGAAACUGGAAAACUUGAGUGCAGAAGAAGAAAGUGGAAUUCCAUGUGUAGCGGUGAAAUGCGCAGAGAUAUGGAGGAACACCAGUGGCGAAGGCGACUUUCUGGUCUGUAACUGACGCUGAUGUGCGAAAGCGUGGGGAUCAAACAGG
rnacentral:rRNA from 1 species